rnacentral:rRNA from 1 species
UACGUAGGGGGCAAGCGUUGUCCGGAUUUACUGGGCGUAAAGAGCGUGUAGGCGGCCAAGCAGGUCCGUUGUGAAAACUGGAGGCUUAACCUCCAGACGUCGACGGAAACCGCGUGGCUAGAGUCCGGAAGAGGAGAGUGGAAUCCCUGGUGUAGCGGUGAAAUGCGCAGAUAUCAGGAAGAACACCAAUGGCGAAGGCAGCUCUCUGGGACGGUACUGACGCUGAGACGCGAAAGCGUGGGGAGCGAACAGG